UACGGAGGGUGCGAGCGUUGUCCGGAAUCACUGGGCGUAAAGGGCGCGUAGGCGGCUGGGGAAGUCGGCGGUGAAAGCCCGGAGCUCAACUCCGGGUCGGCCGUCGAGACUCCUCGGCUCGAGCUCACUAGAGGCAGAUGGAAUUCCGGGUGUAGCGGUGGAAUGCGUAGAGAUCCGGAAGAACACCGGUGGCGAAGGCGGUCUGCUGGGGUGAGGCUGACGCUGAGGCGCGACAGCGUGGGGAG
rnacentral:rRNA from 1 species